UGACAGACGAUCGCGGGGCACAUUUUUGUGCAAUGAGGAAAGUCCGGGCUCCGGGGCAAAGGAUGCCGGGUAACUCCCGGUGAAGGCGACUUUAAGGAAAGUGCAACAGAAAAUAUACCGCCUCUUUUUGAGGUAAGGGCGAAAUGGCGAGGUAAGAGCUCACCGGCUUCGGGGUAACCCGAAGGCCUUGUAAACCCCAUCCGGAGCAACGCCGGCAUGGCAUCGCAGGCUAACAGACGGCCCGUCUCUGCGAUGGCCGGCGGCUUUAGCCGCAGAGAGAUCUGCGGCAUAGAUAGAUGACCGUCUGAUACAGAACCCGGCUUACAGUCAUGCUG
rnacentral:RNase_P_RNA from 1 species